UACGAGGGGGCAAGCGUUGUUCGGAUUUAUUGGGCGUAAAGGGUGCGUAGGCGGUUUGGCAAGUCUGGAUGUGAAAUCUAUGGGCUCAACCCAUAGUCUGCAUCAGAAACUGCCGGGCUUGAGUAUGGGAGAGGUGAGUGGAAUUUCCGGUGUAGCGGUGAAAUGCGUAGAUAUCAGGAGGAACACCUGUGGCGAAAGCGGCUCACUGGACCACAACUGACGCUGAGGCGCGAAAGCUAGGGGAGCAAACAGG
rnacentral:rRNA from 1 species